rnacentral:rRNA from 1 species
GACGAACGCUGGCGGCGUGCUUAACACAUGCAAGUCGAACGGAAAGGCCCUGCUUUUGUGGGGUGCUCGAGUGGCGAACGGGUGAGUAACACGUGAGUAACCUGCCCUUGACUUUGGGAUAACUUCAGGAAACUGGGGCUAAUACCGGAUAGGAGCUCCUGCUGCAUGGUGGGGGUUGGAAAGUUUCGGCGGUUGGGGAUGGACUCGCGGCUUAUCAGCUUGUUGGUGGGGUAGUGGCUUACCAAGGCUUUGACGGGUAGCCGGCCUGAGAGGGUGACCGGCCACAUUGGGACUGAGAUACGGCCCAGACUCCUACGGGAGGCAGCAGUGGGGAAUAUUGCACAAUGGGCGGAAGCCUGAUGCAGCAACGCCGCGUGCGGGAUGACGGCCUUCGGGUUGUAAACCGCUUUCGCCUGUGACGAAGCGUGAGUGACGGUAAUGGGUAAAGAAGCACCGGCUAACUACGUGCCAGCAGCCGCGGUGAUACGUAGGGUGCGAGCGUUGUCCGGAUUUAUUGGGCGUAAGGGCUCGUAGGUGGUUGAUCGCGUCGGAAGUGUAAUCUUGGGGCUUAACCCUGAGCGUGCUUUCGAUACGGGUUGACUUGAGGAAGGUAGGGGAGAAUGGAAUUCCUGGUGGAGCGGUGGAAUGCGCAGAUAUCAGGAGGAACACCAGUGGCGAAGGCGGUUCUCUGGGCCUUUCCUGACGCUGAGGAGCGAAAGCGUGGGGAGCGAACAGGCUUAGAUACCCUGGUAGUCCACGCUGUAAACGGUGGGUACUAGGUGUGGGGUCCAUUCCACGGGUUCCGUGCCGUAGCUAACGCUUUAAGUACCCCGCCUGGGGAGUACGGCCGCAAGGCUAAAACUCAAAGGAAUUGACGGGGCCCCGCACAAGCGGCGGAGCAUGCGGAUUAAUUCGAUGCAACGCGUAGAACCUUACCUGGGUUUGACAUGGAUCGGGAGUGCUCAGAGAUGGGUGUGCCUCUUUUGGGGUCGGUUCACAGGUGGUGCAUGGCUGUCGUCAGCUCGUGUCGUGAGAUGUUGGGUUAAGUCCCGCAACGAGCGCAACCCUUGUUCACUGUUGCCAGCACGUUAUGGUGGGGACUCAGUGGAGACCGCCGGGGUCAACUCGGAGGAAGGUGGGGAUGACGUCAAGUCAUCAUGCCCCUUAUGUCCAGGGCUUCACGCAUGCUACAAUGGCUGGUACAGAGAGUGGCGAGCCUGUGAGGGUGAGCGAAUCUCGGAAAGCCGGUCUCAGUUCGGAUUGGGGUCUGCAACUCGACCUCAUGAAGUCGGAGUCGCUAGUAAUCGCAGAUCAGCAACGCUGCGGUGAAUACGUUUCCGGG